UACGAAGGUGGCAAGCGUUACUCGGAAUUACUAGGCGUAAAGGGCAGGUAGGUGGUUCGAUAAGUCUGUUGUGAAAGCUCCCGGCUCAACUGGGAGAGGCCAACAGAUACUGUCGAGCUUGAGUAUAGGAGAGGUUACUGGAAUUCCCGGUGUAGCGGUGAAAUGCGCAGAGAUCGGGAGGAACACCAAUGGCGAAAGCAGGUAACUGGACUAUUACUGACACUCAGCUGCGAAAGCUAGGGGAGCAAACAGG
rnacentral:rRNA from 1 species